rnacentral:rRNA from 1 species
AGAGUUUGAUCCUGGCUCAGGACGAACGCUGGCGGCGUGCCUAAUGAAUGCGAGUCGAACGGAACAUAGAGAUCGUGAUUGCUUUCGGGCGGUCACCCUUUAUGUUUAGUGGCAAACGGGUGAGUAACACGUGGAUAACGUGCCUUCAAGCCGAGGAUAACAGGGCGAAAGUCCUGCUAAUACUCGAUGGUCUGCCCCUGCUUUGGCGGGGACCAGUAAAGCUCCGGCGCUUGGAGAUCGGUCCGCGGUCCAUUAGCUUGUUGGUGGGGUAAUGGCCCACCAAGGCGACAAUGGGUAGCUGGUCUGAGAGGACGAUCAGCCACACUGGGACUGAGACAUGGUCCAGACUCCUACGGGAGUUAGCAUCCGGGAAUCUUGCACAAUGGGCGCAAGCCUGAUGCAGCGACGCCGCGUGGGUGAUGAAGGUCUGCGGAUCGUAAAGCCCUGUCAGGAGGGACGACACCCGACUGUACCUCCAAAGGAAGCCCCGGCUAACUACGUGCCAGCAGCCGCGGUAAAACGUAGGGGGCUAGCGUUGUCCGGAAUUACUGGGCGUAAAGGGCACGCAGGCGGUCUGUAAAGCGGUGGGUGCAAUCUCGAGGCUCAACCUCGAAACUGCUUGCCGAACUGGCAGACUAGAGCACGGGAGAGGACAGUGGAAUUCCCGGUGUAGCGGUGGAAUGCGUAAAUAUCGGGAGGAACACCAGUGGCGAAGGCUGCUGUCUGGAACGUUGCUGACGCUGAGGUGCGAAAGCUAGGGGAGCGAACGGGAUUAGAUACCCCGGUAGUCCUAGCCGUAAACGAUGCUCACUAGGUGUUGCCGGCAUUAACCCCGGCAGUGCUGUUCUGCUAACGCGCUAAGUGAGCCGCCUGGGGAGUACGGCCGCAAGGCUGAAACUCAAAGGAAUUGACGGGGGCCCGCA